ACUCAAAUGAAUUGACGGGGGCCCGCACAAGCGGCGGAGCAUGCGGAUUAAUUCGAUGCAACGCGAAGAACCUUACCAAGGCUUGACAUAUACCGGAAAAGUGCAGAGAUGUGCUCCCCGCAAGGUCGGUAUACAGGUGGUGCAUGGUUGUCGUCAGCUCGUGUCGUGAGAUGUUGGGUUAAGUCCCGCAACGAGCGCAACCCUCGUUCUAUGUUGCCAGCACGUGAUGGUGGGGACUCAUAGGAGACUGCCGGGGUCAACUCGGAGGAAGGUGGGGAUGACGUCAAAUCAUCAUGCCCCUUAUGUCUUGGGCUUCACGCAUGCUACAAUGGCCAGUACAAAGGGCUGCGAGACCGCAAGGUGGAGCGAAUCCCAAAAAACUGGUCUCAGUUCGGAUUGGGGUCUGCAACUCGACCCCAUGAAGUCGGAGUCGCUAGUAAUCGCAGAUCAGCAACGCUGCGGUGAAUACGUUCCCGGGCCUUGUACACACCGCCCGU
rnacentral:rRNA from 1 species